rnacentral:rRNA from 1 species
UGGGGAAUAUUGGACAAUGGGCGCAAGCCUGAUCCAGCCAUGCCGCGUGAGUGAUGAAGGCCCUAGGGUUGUAAAGCUCUUUCGGCGGGGACGAUAAUGACGGUACCCGCAGAAGAAGCCCCGGCUAACUUCGUGCCAGCAGCCGCGGUAAUACGAAGGGGGCUAGCGUUGUUCGGAAUAACUGGGCGGAAAGCGCACGUAGGCGGGUUGUUAAGUCAGGGGUGAAAUCCCGAGGCUCAACCUCGGAACUGCCCUUGAUACUGGCAAUCUUCGAGUCCGGGAGAGGUGAGUGGAACUCCGAGUGUAGAGGUGAAAUUCGUAGAUAUUCGGAAGAACACCAGUGGCGAAGGCGGCUCACUGGCCCGGUACUGACGCUGAGGUACGAAAGCGUGGGGAGCAAACA